CCUCCGUAGGUGAACCUGCGGAGGGAUCAUUACAGAGUUCUCGCCCUCACGGGUAGAUCUCCCACCCACUGUUAUCGUUACUGUCGUUUCUUUGGCGGGCCGCCGGGUCCCCGGCCGCCGGCGCCUAGCUGCCGGCGCGCGCCCGCCAGAGGCCUUCAAACUCUGAAUGUUAGUGUCGUCUGAGUACUAUAUAAUAGUUAAAACUUUCAACAACGGAUCUCUUGGUUCUG
rnacentral:misc_RNA from 1 species